AGUCUUUUGACGCUUGCUGUCCAACUUUGGAGUUUUCUUGCCUUUUUUUCUCUCAGAGUUGAGCCCCUGCCCGGGCCCUUUAGUCCCUCGGUCACGAGGAACGGUAGAGUUUAGAACCUGUGAGUACGUUAGAAAGUUCGCAGUCGAGGAAGAACAGGGUUCGGGCAAGGGCAGCUGGUCCGGUACCAAGGGAAAACAGGCUGGGAUGGUGAAGGCGUCAGUGGCUACAAGGCUGGAAGUUUAGCACCAGAAGGGAAUUUGGAGAUCAAUUCAACCGCCUCAUUUCAGGCAUACUUAAAUUGAAACCCAGAAAGAUGAGGCGAUGGAACUCACCAGAGACCAGAUAGCUAGAGAAUGGCUGAGCUGGGUUUUAAAUCUAGUCAAUCUUGACCCCAGAGCUCUCCAGCCUAAAGGUAAUGUUUAGACUUAACUUCCAGUGGUGUCAUUAUAAGAGUCAAAAACAGACUGAAGAAAUAAAAUAGCAGAAUAAAGUAGUGGGGCAUUAAAGAAUCAUCUAGUUAAUUCUUG
rnacentral:lncRNA from 1 species